rnacentral:rRNA from 1 species
UACGUAGGUGGCAAGCGUUGUUCGGAAUUACUGGGCGUAAAGGGCGCGUAGGCGGCCUGCUAAGUCGGAUGUGAAAUCCCUCGGCUCAACCGAGGAACUGCAUCCGAUACUGGCGGGCUUGAAUCCGGGAGAGGUGAGUGGAAUUCCUAGUGUAGAGGUGAAAUUCGUAGAUAUUAGGAAGAACACCAGUGGCGAAGGCGGCUCACUGGCCCGGUACUGACGCUGAGGCGCGAAAGCGUGGGGAGCGAACAGG